GAGCUACUCUUCCCCGAAGCUGCAGAGGACAACUGGUUCCACCCACGCUGCCCUGCCUAGAUUGCACAGUUAUGACCGCCUCGUUGCAGCUCGUUCCUAAAUUAGCUGCGCCUUUGCUGGGUCCGAAACCCAGAUGAUAGGCUCCGUGGUGGUCUUAAAAUAUAUCCACAAAUUCUCUGACAUCCUCUCUUCAAGAAGUGGAGCUUAAUUCCCUUUCCUUUGAGUGCAGACCACUCUGGGAGAAACCAACAGCUAUGUCAUGGGGAAAUUCAAACCACCUAUGGAGCGAGGCUCACAUGAAUUCUGCAAGUCUGCUACAGUGACAUUUCUGGUUAGGAGUCAGUGUGGAUGGGGCACUGAGCAAUAAGAAUGAAUGAAGAUGGCUGAAGCUGGAGUUUUUCUCUGAAGCAACCACCUGUUGGAAACUUCAUGUCGAAGAUGCCUGAGUAAUACGACAGAGGGAGUCUGGGUCCCUGGUAGAUAUUCCAGAUCUGGGUGUUCAUGGUGAUAUGAGAAAGCAGUAAACUUCAGUUUUGCCUAAAUAGCUGUUACUUGGGGCAUUCUGUCAUUUACGGACAAAUCUGACCUGGAUUAAUACACCUCCGCUGGGUACCAAGACUGAUCUAAUAGUCAAAAAGGUUUCAUUCCGUCUAGAUGUUUCUCUAGAACAGGACCUAAAGAAGUUCUUUAGCUGAAUUUCUUAUGGAAGUAAUAGGAGAGUUCCUUGUGCUUCAUUAAAUGUUGUAUUGGUGUAACUGCCCAGUGGGUUCUUCCUGCCUGCUAUACAAACAAAAUCAAUUCAGAGACCAUGGCAUUUCAGCAAAGAAAGAGUUUAAUUGACAUGAGGCCAGCCAUUGCUAUGUGGGAGAUGGAGUUAUUAUUCAAAUCAAUCUCUUCAAGAAUUUUAUGGCUGGAGUUUUUCAAAGGUAGUUUUGGGGAAAGGGUGGGGGUCGCGAGGCAAUGGGUGCUUGCUGCUGAUUGGCUGAGGGUGCAAUCAUAGGGGUGUGGAAAUGGUCUUCCUGUGCACUUGACUUGCUUCUGGGUGGGGCCACAGAAGCUAGUGUUUGGUGGGUUUAGGUGGGGCCUUUGGUUAUGAAACAUGAAAAAACCCUUAAAAGAUAUCUCAAAAGGCCAAUCAUAGGUUCUAAAAUAGUGAUGCUAUCUGCAGGAGUAAUUGGGGAAGUUGCAUAUUUUGUAAUCUCCAGAAUAAUGGCUGGCAAUCCUUUAUGUGUGCACCUUAGCAGAAUUCAGGCUCCUCUGUUCUCUUAGUCUGGUGGUCUUUCCUUUGCUUUACAAAGGCAGUUGAGUUUAUGGGAAGGACUACUAUCACUUAAACUGUAAACUAAAUGUUUCCCAAAGUUAGCUUCACCCAAGUCCAGGAAUAAUUAAGGACAGCUUGAAGGGUAAAGGCAAAACUGGGUGGCUAGAUCGGAUCUCCCCCACUGCCAGUAUUUUCUUACUGAUACAGUUUUUGCAAAAGUGGUUUCAUAGGUAUAACAUCAUAAAUCUGAAGCUUUUCAAACAUUGAAAGCUCAAACCAAAUGGCCCUUCUCAACUGCCUGUGACAGACACUGUCUGUCUUAGAAGUGUUUAGUAGAAAUGUAUUAAAAAGAUACUAAGGACACCCAAAAGACUAGCAACUGAAGUUGCACGUUAUCCACUCACAUUUCAAAAGGAUUAUCUACUCAUCCUCUAUAAGGAGGGGAAAGGAUGUACUAGGUUCCACAAAUCAGCCCCAGUGCUGACAUUGCCCCAGUAACAUAUCUGAAAGCUCACACGCUCUGAUUAGAAAAACAAUGUAGGAUCUAUUGAAUAUGUCUACGUUUCCCACUUUUGAUCAUUACUAAUUACCAAUAAAGAUUGUGUGUGUGGCAUUCUAUAGGUUCUGAAAACAAGGUAUGUAUGCUCUAUAGUUUGGAACCAACCUUCAUCACAAGAUGACUAACUUGAUUAGGUAGUAUAAGAGAUGUCCCAAAUGAGUGAAAUAGAUAUAUUUAUUGGAGCAAUUUAGAGGAAGUGAUAAUUAUAGGAGGGUGAGGUGUGGGUGGUCAGUAGUACUUGAUGGAAGGCUGGAAACAUAAAAUUUAGCCUAGCAAAAAUGAAAUUUAACUUACAAAUAUAGCAUCCUGAUCUUGAAUCUGAACAACCAACUGUAUAGGUGCAAGGUAAGAACGUGUGGGUUAUCUCCAACUCAUUUGUAAUACUGUUUUUAAUUAACAAGACGUUUAAAUAAUGCAACAAUUUAAUGGGGCUGAGAAAAAAGUCUAACACAGUCAGGUAAAGUACUUGUAAUAAUUACACAGAACAAGAAUAAUGAUAAUCCAGACCAUCUGUAUUGGUCACACCACACAUGGAUUAUUGUUUUCAGCUCUGGAAACCACAAUUUGAGGAAAGUUACAGAUAAACUGGGACAUUUACAAUUGAGAGGGAUCAGAAUAAUGAGAGGAUACUGAGUCUCACAGUGCUUUAACUAGCCAGAGAAUAAAGAUUCAGAGGUUGAGAGGCUCACUCAAUAUUACCAAUGGCUUUAUAACCUAAUUACUUAGAGUUGUCCUGGGAUAAAUUGAGUGGUAAAUUGUUACUAGAGGUAUUUAAACCUGAGCAUGACCACUGGGCAAGGACGUUGUAGGGGAUGAUGAAGGAUAUAAAGGGUGCUAGGUGUUCUUUUUUGCUUGUGAGUAAACAGAAACCUACUUGCGCUUCUUUAGGAGUGGGGAAAGUGGUGAUUAGAACAAUUUUUGUAAUGAAUCUAGGACUAGAAAAUUUGUCAAGAUUCCAGGUAUCCCUAGAUUUUUCUUUUCUCUGUCUAUCAUGGCCAGCAUGAUCUUUUUCUCAUGGAAUCUUAGCUUUUUUUCUGUAGGUCUACUUCAUUAUUCUCUUGCAACUGACUGGUUAGUCACUGAGUUCUCUGGGGAAAAUUCCAGAGCAAGUGAGUCUGACAGGCUUAGCUACAUACCUUUGCCUCCAUUGAGCACAGCUUGUUGAUCCACACCUCCUCCUAGGAGGCUGCCAGCUGUUAAAAGAUAAACUUAAGCACAUUAACAUUUUAAAGAGUUUAUUUGAGCAGACAGUGAUUCAUGAAUUGACAGUGCCAAAGCACAACCAGGUUGGGCUCCACUGAAGGGGAAUAAGGGAAAAAGUUUUAUCAGGUGUUCUCGGAAGCAAGACAAAGAAAAUAUUUGAUUGGCUAAAGUAGCCUUAAAGUCCCUAGUUAGAGGUUAGUUGGCAGUUUCUGAUUGGUUAAGAUUAAGUUCCAUUUUCCUAGGCUAUGACCAUUCCCUCUGAGCUGGGUUUGAGUUCAUAUGUGAUGAACUCAGGGGGCUAGAGUCACCUCAGUUUGAUGGUUUCCCAAUUAAUUAUUUUAACACAGCUUAGGGAUGAGCUCUUCUUGGGCUAGUUACCAAUCUCUCAUCCAGUCAAUUGGCCAUUGUGCCAGCUACAGUGACUUCCCUACAAAGCAAGGGGAGUGGAAUGAAGAAAACAGCUUGAGCUGAAGGUGGGUUUGAGCAGUGGCCUGCAGUGUGGUUCAUAUACAUGGAAAUACUAGAUGGCAUUAAAAUUCCUCUACCACUUGUAAUUCCUCAAUUCCAUGAUGCUAGUGGUAUUGGUGGGUCUUUGUUUUCAGAUCUCCCAAGAUGGUGGCGGCUGCUCCCAACAUGGCAGCAAGCUUUUUGUUCUCUGACCUGGGGUUCUUGGCCUCACAGAUUCCAAAGAAUGGAACCUUGGGCCAUGCGGUGAGUGCUAAAGCUCUAUGAGAAGCCAUGGGUCACAGAAGAGAACCAUGGAACCCAGCGACUAGUAUUCGGCGACUAGGAUGAACCAGGGCACUUAGCCAUGCAGGAACAAUGGCAAGCCUCUAGCCUGAUCAGGAGUGGCACUGGGCGCCUCUCUGGAUCAGAAGUGCAGCAGAUACCCACCCCGGAUCCGGAGGGGUGGAAGUCAGCAGCAGGUCUGCAACAGCGGCGAUCAGCAGUGGUGGAUGGCGAGUGAAAGCUGAGCUCCAGCCAGAACAAACACAGAGCAGAAGAGUGUGCAGUUGCAAGAUUUAAUAGAGUGAAAACAGAGCUCCCAUACAAUGGGAGGGGACCCAAAGGGGGUUGCCUGAUCCAGCUCAAAUGCCUGGGUUUAUAUCCUGACCAUGUCCCUCCCCCUGUGCUCUUAGGUGAUAGAUGAUUUGACUAUUUCCUUACCUCCUGCUUUUGGCCUAACUGAUAUUUUAGUGAGCUCUCUUUACUACCUGAUGGGUCAGGUAUGAGCUGAGUUAUAAGCCCCAUGUUUGAAGGUGGGUGUGGUCACCUUCCCCAGCUAGGCUUAGGAAUUCUUAGUCAGCCUAGGAAAUCCAGCUAGUCCUGUCUCUCACUAGUAGGAUUAGAAUUCGACCUUAUCAUUAAAAAUGAGAUAAGGGGACUGUAUUAGUCCAUUCUCAUGCUGCUAUGAAAUUACCCAAGACUGGGUAAUUUAUUAAAAAAAGAGAUUUAA